AUCCUGGUGGCGAGUGGCGAACGGGUGAGUAAUAUAUCGGAACGUGCCCAGUCGUGGGGGAUAACGCAGCGAAAGCUGUGCUAAUACCGCAUACGAUCUACGGAUGAAAGCGGGGGAUCGCAAGACCUCGCGCGAUUGGAGCGGCCGAUAUCAGAUUAGCUAGUUGGUGGGGUAAAAGCCCACCAAGGCGACGAUCUGUAGCUGGUCUGAGAGGACGACCAGCCACACUGGAACUGAGACACGGUCCAGACUCCUACGGGAGGCAGCAGUGGGGAAUUUUGGACAAUGGGCGCAAGCCUGAUCCAGCAAUGCCGCGUGCAGGAUGAAGGCCUUCGGGUUGUAAACUGCUUUUGUACGGAACGAAACGGCGACCUCUAAUAAAGUUCGCUAAUGACGGUACCGUAAGAAUAAGCACCGGCUAACUACGUGCCAGCAGCCGCGGUAAUACGUAGGGUGCAAGCGUUAAUCGGAAUUACUGGGCGUAAAGCGUGCGCAGGCGGUGAUGUAAGACAGAUGUGAAAUCCCCGGGCUCAACCUGGGACCUGCAUUUGUGACUGCAUCGCUAGAGUACGGUAGAGGGGGAUGGAAUUCCGCGUGUAGCAGUGAAAUGCGUAGAUAUGCGGAGGAACACCGAUGGCGAAGGCAAUCCCCUGGACCUGUACUGACGCUCAUGCACGAAAGCGUGGGGAGCAAACA
rnacentral:rRNA from 1 species